UUUCCGUAGGUGAACCUGCGGAAGGAUCAUUACCGUGACGCAGCUCGAGUCCGCUCGAGCCUGCCCACCCUCUGUGUACCCACUCCGUUGCUUCGGCGGGCCGUGUUGGUCACGACCAACCCAUCUGCUUCGGCGGAUGUGUGCCCGUCCGAGGACCUUGAACUUCGAUUGAACGAGACUGUCAGAGCAACAAGAAAAAUCAAAACAAAACUUUCAACAACGGAUCUCUUGGUUCCGGCAUCGAUGAAGAACGCAGC
rnacentral:misc_RNA from 1 species